CUGCAACAUGUGCUGACUGCAUUGGCUCGUCAAUGUUCCGUUGAGUCGGCGCUGUUCACACAUGCUAGAAAGGUCCGCUGACGGAGUAUUAAUUAUGUCUUCAAAUUCACUGAGUCGGUCCGAGACCUCAAUGAACUUGUUAAGCGCAAUUUCGGAAGCUAACCAUAGGAGUGAGCGAGAGGCAAAUACGCGGCAUCCUGCCGGGCGCGUUCUCGCAAAGAAACAGAACCACCAGUAACACGAUCUCCGACGACCUCUCC